rnacentral:pre_miRNA from 1 species
CAAAUACUACCUCCAUCCGGAAAUACUUGUUCUAGAGAUGAAUGUAUCUAGACUUAUUUUAAUUGUAGAUACAUUCAUUAUAUGCAUUUUUAGGACAAAUAUUUUGGGACGGAGGGAGUAUCUA